AGGACAUGUGGCCAUGAGGACUGGCUGCAGGAGAAUGUCUGCAGGUCUUGGGAAGCCUGGAGGGCAGGAAGCUUGAGUUCUCAACCAGAAUUUGGUUCUGAGCUGCGCCAAUUUAAGCUAAUGACUCUUCUGCUGCUGUGUAGUACACGAUCAUUUCUCUGGAGAUCUAGCAGAGAUAUAUCUGGUAUCUUCGUUCUGGAUGUGGAGACAAUGCCUGGCACCAUUUCAGAGGUAGGAGGAGU